rnacentral:rRNA from 1 species
UACUCCUACGGGAGGCAGCAGUGGGGAAUAUUGCACAAUGGGCGCAAGCCUGAUGCAGCCAUGCCGCGUGUAUGAAGAAGGCCUUCGGGUUGUAAAGUACUUUCAGCGAGGAGGAAGGCAUUAAGGUUAAUAACCGCAGUGAUUGACGUUACUCGCAGAAGAAGCACCGGCUAACUCCGUGCCAGCAGCCGCGGUAAUACGGAGGGUGCAAGCGUUAAUCGGAAUUACUGGGCGUAAAGCGCACGCAGGCGGUCUGUCAAGUCGGAUGUGAAAUCCCCGGGCUCAACCUGGGAACUGCAUCCGAAACUGGCAGGCUAGAGUCUUGUAGAGGGGGGUAGAAUUCCAGGUGUAGCGGUGAAAUGCGUAGAGAUCUGGAGGAAUACCGGUGGCGAAGGCGG